rnacentral:misc_RNA from 1 species
AGGUUGUAACCCUGCCCCCCUCAACUCCUCCUUUCCCAGCCUGGGCAGGGAAAAAAAAGUAACAAAAGGAGAAAGUAAAAGUGGGAAAAGACGAGAGAGUAAUGAAAAGCUAGUAUGAUAAUCACAUUUGAAGUUUAGUGAAAUUCCUCGGGGCUUGUUUGGUUGUGGAAAAUUAGACCUGUCUUCCAGAAAAAAUGAUUGCAAGAAAAGUGGAAAAUGGAAAUUGUUGUUCAGUUGCAAUAAUUUGCAAGUGCGGAAUUGGAAUGAAUUUUCACGUUUUCUAGCUAACUGCUUAACUUUAGAAAACAUCUAUAGAUAGCUUUCCAUAUUUUCUUUGCACAAGGGAGGGAUACAGCUAAAUGGGAAGCACAGGUUUCCUUGUUUUCAUUUUUGGGCAUCACAGUGUUGGGCUCAAAUUCCAG